CCCACGCCCCCACUCCCUCUCCCAUCCAUCCACCCACCAUCGCCGGCGCCGGCCCGCCGCCGCGCCGCCCCCGCUCCGGGAACCGGCCGCCGCUUCCCUCCCAGUCCGCGCCGCCGCUGCCGCUUCCCUCCCCGGACUGCGCCGCCGCUGCCGUCACCCUCCACGGAUCAUGCCACCGCCGCCUCCCUCCCCUGAUCGCACCGCCACCGUCCGCCGCUAGCUACCGCUGCCUGUGCAGUCCUUUGCUAGCUGCCGCUGCAGUCCACCGCUAGCUCUUGCGGGGGAGGCGGUGCUGCUCCGGCUACCCAUGCGUCACUGGCUGCCGCCGCGAACGGCGUCCGGACGCCAUCACGUACUGCCCCCCGGUGCCGCCUCCAGCGCUUACCCGUUACAGCCUUGGGAAAAACCUCCUCCACGUGGGCGACUGGCCUCUCAAACUUCCCCUCGCCGGCCAUCGUGGGCCUCUGUAUCCUGUCAUGGCGGCUCCUCCCCUGUGGCACAAGCAAGGUCAACUGCGGCUGGAUGAGACUCAAAAAAUGGUGGUCAUCGGGCUGGGCACGGGCUGCUUAUAUGUUGUACGCCUUGGGCGUCCCUGUGCUGGUGAUGAGCGUGAUGGCCGUGCAUUGACCUGCAUCGCCUGUCCCAACUGUGCCGGCCAUGCGUCCGACGACCUCGUCCAUCCCUGAUCACCUCUUCCGCGCAAUCAGGCGCACAUACACAGACAUGCCUGUACUAUAUUAUACUUGAACUUCAGAGCUUCUGAACUCUCUGAAUCUGUGUGCAUGUUUUUAUAUUGUGUCAUUGCAUAGCUCCACCACUGAAUUUGGAAAUUCAGUCAAUGCUUAAACUUGAUAAAAAAGAGCAAGAAACAGUGACAUAUUAUGUGUGUUUUUCACGGAAGUGAGCUGAGAAUUUAGAUGUUCCUUUUCAUAAUAUUAAGGGCAUCGAUCAUUCAACUAUUUAUGUUA